rnacentral:tRNA from 1 species
AGGUCGGUAGUUUAAUUGGUAAAAUGUCACUCUCCAAAAGUGAACGAUGUUUUGGGUUCGAAUCCCACUCGGCCUG